GACGAACGCUGGCGGCGUGCUUAACACAUGCAAGUCGAACGGAAAGGCCCUGCUUGCAGGGUACUCGAGUGGCGAACGGGUGAGUAACACGUGGGUGAUCUGCCCUGCACUUCGGGAUAAGCUUGGGAAACUGGGUCUAAUACCGGAUAGGAACCAUCUUUAGUGUGGUGGUUGGAAAGUUUUUUCGGUGUAGGAUGAGCUCGCGGCCUAUCAGCUUGUUGGUGGGGUAAUGGCCUACCAAGGCGGCGACGGGUAGCCGGCCUGAGAGGGUGUACGGCCACAUUGGGACUGCGAUACGGCCCAGACUCCUACGGGAGGCAGCAGUGGGGAAUAUUGCACAAUGGGCGCAAGCCUGAUGCAGCGACGCCGCGUGGGGGAUGAAGGCCUUCGGGUUGUAAACUCCUUUCGCUAGGGACGAAGCUUUGUUGUGACGGUACCUAGAUAAGAAGCACCGGCUAACUACGUG
rnacentral:rRNA from 1 species